AGAGUUACGUACUCGUGAAUUGGUAUUUACAAAACCGUUCGUAGCCGCAAACGUAACUUACGAUGUACGAUUGCACGUACGCGUGCGCAGUGGCUAUUUUCACUUCGAAGCGUAAAAAGUGUGAAUUUGCUCAUUUACUUUGAAUUCCCUGCGCUACCGCCGCAUUAUGACGAAAAAGAACACAGAAUUUUGUGAGAAAGCAACGAAUUUCAACGUAUACGUAUGCCUGCCAACGGCAUGUCGAUCAACUGUACCGUUAUUCAGUGUUGUUUACAAAUCCAAAUGGAAGGUUCAUGAAAUUUAACGCAUUUGACUUGUGCAUGGAUCUGCGAUGCUGUAGGUGUUCAAAAAGAAGUCGGCAUGGACUGACAAGUAAGUUAAGUUGUUUGUGUAGUAAUAACCUUAAAUGUUUUACCACUGACUACUCGUCACUAGGCCCCUAAAUAAUGUUAAAUUGACUUCAAGGGGAUUCAGUACAUGACACACAUGGUAAAAUCACAGUCCCUUAUUCAUUUUGUUCUCAACCUAUGUAGCUGCUAUAAUGCCUGGAUCUUAAUUUCUAAAUAGUGAGCACAUAUACAUAUGUGUUAGUUAUUUACAAUUUGAUAUGUGCCCACUAUUAACACAUUAAGACACAAGCUCAUUUGUGUACAUGGUAACUUCAAACUUUUGACAAUACCACAAUUGAAAUUCAAAAUUAUUUAUCCCAUUUUUUUAAUUUCAUGACUGGGACAACAUCAAAGCAGUAUCAUAGCUACCUGUACACAAGUACGCACAUGCUUUCACAUCAUUUCGCAAAAAGAAAAACAAGAAUAUUGGUGAAAAAUGAAUCUAAAAUAUACAUUAUAUAUACAGGCACUAAUUCUAAAAUGUGUGUUUUGUAUGUGCCCCUCUAUUGCAUAGUUAUAAAAUAUGAAAUUAUUAUUGUUUUAACAAUAUAUACUCUGGGUGAACAGGUAGAUAGGAUGAAUGGACUUGGUACCAGAUGAGAACAGUUACAGUCUCUUUUAGCAUCAUUUCAAUUAUAUUGCUUGUGCACAUCCAUGUGCAAAACUUUCAGAAAAUAUUGUGAAACAAAAUCGCAUUCAAAUACAGUUGUACAACUGCGUGAAGUCAGUGUUAAUUUAUUUAAUGUAGAAUAACAUUGACUAUAUAUUAAUUGGAGAUAUUAGGUGUGAUAUACAUGUAACAUGCACUAGAUAUCCAAGUUAGCUGACCUCUUUUAUUUUUCAAAGGGUCAUAAAGAUGGUCAAGAAAUAAAUUGCCAUCAGACAGCAGCAUUCCUUGAUUUAGAUGCAUUUCUCUUCAUGUCCUCUCCUGAAAAAUUUUCCAUGAUGCCUCAGGGUUAGGAUUGGGAUGCAAGAUGUACAGUACAUAUAUAUGAUGUCUAUGGGUACAUUGCUGUAAUGGCCUGAAAAAUGUUUUGCGAAACCGAGAAAUGUUCAUCUUCCAUUGCCUUGAUUGUGUAAAAGGACGAGCAGAGGAAUGAUUCAAAAAUAUAUGGCAGGAUUGAGAAUCUAACCCAUGACCCGUAGUCUGGUACUCUACCCACUGAUCAAUCCAUGCUGAUGGUCCAUCUGCUACAUUGAUGUCAUCUUAUAUAUUUAUUUAUUCAUUUAUAUCAUAUGGACAUUUAAAAAUUGACAGUAAAAUAAAAAAAAGUUUGAUAUUCAGCAAAAUAAAAUUUGUUACAAUACAUGUUUAAGAAAUUAAGUACAUGUACAUGCAUUGUUAUGCAUACAAUUAUGUACAUGUAAUUAUAUUUGUUAAUAGAUAACUUUUUAGAUGAAUUUUCAUGUUGUUAUUGAUAUUGACAUGUACAUGUAUUACUUCCAUUUCUAGAAUGAUUUUAACAUCUUGAUAUUAAAAAGAUGACAUAAUAAAUAAAUCUUAAAUAUUUGUCAACAAAGUUGUCUGGUGGGUUAAAAUUUGUAAAGAGGAGCAUUAGUACAUAUGUCGGUUUAAUGUGAGAAGCCUUCAGAAUGAACUUUUAUCAGUGAGAUUUUUGUAAAUUGGAGGGGGGGGGAUGGGCUUCAACAAAAUAAUAUGUAUGUUGAAGGCAUCAUCCUUGGAGUUUGGUAAUAUACACUGCAAAGACUUUUACCUAGCUGAUCACAUAUAAAGGUCAAUUACAUACAAAUCAUGAAUGGUAGAAAGAUUCAUAUAUAUGCAUUAUCAAUGAAGGUUUGACUCCUGUAGGAUUAUAGUUAAAGGAAAUGGCACUCUGAAAGAUUGAAAGUCUACACAUGACUACACUAGUAGGCAUCACAAUUGCUCUCUGAAACAAAUUACACAAAAUUGUAUUAUUGGAAUGAAAUGCAUAUCUUUUUUUUUUUAAAGAAAUAUUUAUUUAGAGGCUCAUUUCCCUGUUGUGUAAGUUACAAUGUAACAAAGUUAUUUGGACUACCAAUAUUUGCUUAUAACCACAAAGAAAAGAUCACAUAUCUAUAAGUAGAAAUGGUUUUUCUAUAGCUGUCAAUCACCAUGUAUUCUUGUACACACAGUGACUCUCUUCUUUUCAAAUCUAAAACAUUGCAUGUUUGAUUGCAUAUAUAUACAUUAAUUCUACCAUGUUUGGAAAAUUAAAAAAAAUGUAUUUCCCUGAAAGAUGCUAGACCUACCCUGUAUAAUAAGAUAAAUGGCAAAUAUUCUUUUUUUUUUUUUUUAAAUAACCUGCAUGACUAAAAUAAAAAGCUUCCCAAUUAUUUCUAAAGGCAAGGUUAGAUCCACCCAGUCUGAUUAAAAUCAAAUUUCGCAUUUUGCUCGAUAUACGGACAGCGACUGUCCGUAUAUCGAGCGAAGUGAGAAGUUUGAUUUUAAAUCAGACUGAGAUCCGCCACAAGGUAAAUUAGAUCGGGCUCAAAAUUUAGAGAAUUGUCACACAAUUGCAGAUGAUCUCAAAGAAAACGAUAAUCUGAAUAAAUACAAUUAAUUUGUGUAUUACUAACCAGCUUAUAUGCAUCUAGAGGGUUUGUAAGGUCUUUACGCAAGAAAUUAUCGAUAAAAAUGACAAGUCGCCAUUUGCUUUGUUUAUUCUUAAAGUUACGAUCAGCUUACGUGUACUAGUAUAGCACACGUAGAGUUACGCUUAUUUCUGACGUAAAUCUACGUCUACAACUGUUAGUGAAUACCGUCCC